AUGACAAGCACUUUGAAAAGAGGGUGAAAAGAGCCUGAAACCGUCACGGGGGAAGCGGAUUGCGUUGGAUUGAUGGGCGCUUGUGUGUUCAGCCUUUAUGGUGCAUUGGCACAAGUGCUUAUCCGCUGUGAGUUCUCGGGGGUCGAUUUUGGAUCCCUGGGGACUGAGGGCUCCCUUUUUGGUGAGGACAGCGGAGUGACGACGCGAUACGACCCGUCUUGAAACACGGACCAAGGAGUCUAGCGCGGGUGCGAGUCAGAGGGUGCAAGCCCGUGGGCGAAGUGAAAGCGAGUGUAAAAACUAGCAGUUUGGGGCGGCAUAAGAUCGUUGAUCUCAAGACCGACCCAGAGCAGUUGCGCUGGGACCCGAAAGAUGGUGAACUAUGCCGGAGUAGGGCAAAGCCAGAGGAAACUCUGGUGGAGGCUCGUAGCGGUGCUGACGUGCAAAUCGCUCGUCGAACUUGGGUAUAGGGGCGAAAGACUAAUCGAACCAUCUAGUAGCUGGUUCCCUCCGAAGUUUCUCUCAGGAUAGCGGGCCGACAAGUUGUUUUGUGC
rnacentral:rRNA from 1 species